CCCUUAGAUGUUCUGGGCCGCACGCGUGCUACACUGAGUGGAUCAGCGGGUCAGGUUGCGCGAAAGUGUUUCCUAAUCUUGAAAUCCGCUCGUGAUGGGGAUUGACGGUUGCAAUUUUCCGUCAUGAACGAGGAAUACCUUGUAAGCGCGGGUCAUCAUCCCGCGCUGAAUACGUCCCUGCCCUUUGUACACACCGCCCGUCGCUCCUACCGAUUGAGUGGUCCGGUGAGGCUUUGGGAUCUGAGCGGAAAGAGCGUUUCGCUGUUUCUGCUCGGAAAACUCAGUCGAACCUUAUCAUUUAGAAGAAGGAGAAGUCGUAACA
rnacentral:rRNA from 1 species